rnacentral:rRNA from 1 species
GCGGGGGAUAACACCUGGAAACAGAUGCUAAUACCGCAUAACAACUUGGACCGCAUGGUCCGAGUUUGAAAGAUGGCUUCGGCUAUCACUUUUGGAUGGUCCCGCGGCGUAUUAGCUAGAUGGUGGGGUAACGGCUCACCAUGGCAAUGAUACGUAGCCGACCUGAGAGGGUAAUCGGCCACAUUGGGACUGAGACACGGCCCAAACUCCUACGGGAGGCAGCAGUAGGGAAUCUUCCACAAUGGACGAAAGUCUGAUGGAGCAACGCCGCGUGAGUGAAGAAGGGUUUCGGCUCGUAAAACUUUGUUUGUUAAAGAAGAACAUAUCUGAGAGUAACUGUUCAGGUAUUGACGGUAUUUAACCAGAAAGCCACGGCUAACUACGUGCCAGCAGCCGCGGUAAUACGUAGGUGGCAAGCGUUGUCCGGAUUUAUUGGGCGUAAAGCG